rnacentral:misc_RNA from 1 species
GGUGAAUAGCUUUUCUAUUACUAUCAAAGCCAUCAAUCAAUCACACAAUGUAACACCAAAAGGUUUAUGUUGCAGGAAUAAAAGGAAAAUUUACAUGCAUCCACUUUCCUUAGAUAAGGAAUAUGAUAAAAUGUGACACACUAGAUCAAAACAACUGAAAGACAUUGCUUUGGAAAAUGGAAGUUUUUCACCCUUCCCAAUUCCUAUAUUCCAAAUAACAUCACUAUCUUGUGAGACAGCAAAUUUGUGCUCCAAUAAUCAUCAUAUCUAGAUGAGAAAUGCAUUUUGACCACUCUGUAUACAAA